rnacentral:lncRNA from 10 species
AGAGCAGUGUAAGCUGGUUUGCAAUGGGGUGUGUGUUAAAGCUAUUUCUAAUUUGUUGUUAGGAGGUCUCAACCUGGGAGUCACGGGAAAAGAUGAGAGCAAAGAUAAUUUUCUUUGUAGUGUGGGUGUGAGGAGAGGUGGGCAGAGCAGAAAAGUGACAAAUGGAGGCUUUUGUGUGUUCCGCUAGCUUUCCGCUGUGCCAUUGUUUCUUCCAGGACUUGUGUGCAGGGAUCCCUUGCUGAGGUAGCUUAGACCCUGUGACCCUCACUCUGUUGCCUGUGGCUAUUUACCAGGGUAAACAUUGCUCCAAGGGGACCCAACCACUGACUGACUGUGGUCUCUGACCUGUGUAGCCUGGCUGAAAAAGAUGAGCUGAGCCAAUCAAACCCCUCUCUCAAGAAGCUGAAACUAGGCUGGGCGCGGUGGCUCACGCCUGUAAUCCCAGCACUUUGGGAGGCGGGCGGAUCACGAGGUCAGGAGAUCGAGACCGUCCCCGGUGAAACCCCGUCUCUACUAAAAAAUACAAAAAAAUUAGGCGGGCAUGGUGGUGGGCGCCUGUAAUCCCAGCUACUGAGGAGGCUGAGGCAG